ensembl:lncRNA LINC02880 long intergenic non-protein coding RNA 2880
UGAUCCCUUUCGGAGUGGAGUUUCCUAGCUGGUGCCUGUCCUCUCUUGAGCCUUUGUUUCUUGAGUGAGCACUCACUGGGGCUGUGGCUCCAUGAACUGGAUUUCAGGAAACCAGCCAAGGCAUUCUCUCUCUCUCUCCAUUCCUAGAAAGGCAGAAAGCCUGGGAAUGGGUUCGGCAGGAAGAUCUCUGUACCUCAAUCUCCAUUGCUUUCAGCACCACUGGCUUUCUCCCCAGCUCAAGUGCAAAACCUGCCAUCGUUGCUACCUGGGGUGCCUCAGACUCACCCAAGUCCCCCAGGCCAGAGGACAUGCUCUCAAGCCUUGUUUCAGAAAGAGGGACCCAAAGGCUGUUAGGGAAGAGAACCAGGGUCCUCAAACCCAGGGUUUUCUCACCCACUGCCUCUGCUCUGGCUGUGGCCUGCCAGACCUCUCCUCUGAUUUUCGCUUUCCUUCCUGCCAGUGCCUUUGUUUAUCCGAGGCGCCAAGAUCCCACUGUGAAGUCUGAAAGGAAGACCAGUGGUUCUCGCUUUUCCUCUAGAUGCUGUGUCUCCCAAUGUCAUCUUCUUUCCUCUCAAAGACAAUUGGACGUUGUUACAGAUUUUCUUGGAAUGAGUUGAUCGCUGCCUGGAUUCACAGAAGGACAAAUUACAAUGCAUUUUGAAAGACUCGUCUACAGUCAACUAAAAUACCAGUUAUCACAGACUUCACUGGCCUUAAUGAGGAGGCUGAGAGGGAUUUAAUUACUGGGACAUGCAACGCUUACACCAAACUCUGUUCGAUUCACGACUUGGAAAAGCAAAUGUGGAUACAGAUGAGUGUGGACAUGGCUUCAGUAGGAAAUGUCGAGUUUGUUCAUCACUCUGAAGUUUCUUCAGCUGCAACGGAAACUGCACCCUCCCUCCCGACUUGUUGGUUAUCUUGCUGUGCUCCCAAGAAGGUAUUUUCUGCUGACCUGAUAGAUCAGACCUUUGUCAUUUUGAUUGAAAAGAUGUUUACCUGUUGGUCCCCAGCCUCACUCUUCUGAACCUCAGAUCCACUGAGUGUGUAUCCAGAGGUAAGUAUGUGGUAAGUAUGCUUGUCAUUUACAUUAUCUGUCAGCAUGAGUAUUGGUUUCCUAGAAACCUAAUAUUGAAAACACUUAGCAUUGCUAAAAGCAUUAAAUGAAAUAAAGACUCAAUAUAGCUGCACUAAUCUGUGCUUUCUAAAUUUACUGAUGGACGUGAAGAAAGUAGGUUGGCAUGGAGUUUAUACAAUUUAUGGAUCACACUGAUCUGAAUUCAGACAGUGUGUGCUCAGAUAAAAAUAUUGUUUCCUCCCAUGAGGUUUCCAAUUUUGCAGAGAAGAAUACCUCUGUUUAGCUCAUUACUUAACACAAUGGGUAGCUGGGUGGCCUUGCAUUCUGGAAGUGAAAUGACACAAGAAUGUCUCCACUGCAUUCUCCAGAGGUAAAGAUUCUCUGGCACAAAAUCACAACCAAGGUGGGGUUCCAAAACUAUAGAACAAAUGGCAGCAGCCAUGCAGCCAGCCUUGGUUCGGGUGGGCUGUAAAAGCAGAGGUUGUCCUCGUGUUAUCAGCACUGACUUCCUGUUGUGGCCACACUGACAGAGAUGAGAUGGCAGAAAGCAGGAAAGAGACCAGAGCUGCAAUUGACAGAUGGCUGGCCAAAGUUGAAGGGUCAGAGACUACACCAAAGACUUCUCAGAAAA